GUGCUUUCUUUCAGAGCCCAUUUACAAAAACUGGAAUGUACAGAAAAGAUAAACAAAGCCAUUUUGCAAAGGAAGAUAGGCAAAAUUGUAAAACGUUUCAUUAUUAA
rnacentral:snRNA from 1 species